GGUAAAAUGGCUGAUUUUAGGCAAUAAAUUGUAAAUUUAUUUAUGGGUUUUAUUAACUCUUUUACCA
rnacentral:tRNA from 1 species